AUUGAACGCUGGCGGCAGGCCUAACACAUGCAAGUCGAGCGAGCGGCGGACGGGUGAGUAAUGUCUGGGAAACUGCCUGCUGGAGGGGGAUAACUACUGGAAACGGUAGCUAAUACCGCAUACCAUCAGAUGUGCCCAGAUGGGAGUAGCUAGUAGGUGGGGUAACGGCGCACCUAGGCGACGAUCCCUAGCUGGUCUGAGAGGAGGACCACCCGCACUGGAACGGAGACAGGGACCAGACGCCUACGGGAGGCAGCAGUGGGGAAUAUUGGACAAUGGGGGCAAUCCUGAUGCAGCCAGGCCGCGUGUGUGAAGAAGGCCUUCGGGUUGUAAAGCACGUUCAGCGGGUGGGCGUUACCCGCAGAAGAAGCACCGGCUAACUCCGUGCCAGCAGCCGCGGUAAUUC
rnacentral:rRNA from 1 species